CUAUGAUUAUCAUGAGGCUUUGUUUGACAGAUGCUGUUCCUUCAACCUGUAUCCUGAAAUGAGAAUUUAUGUGGAACAGAGGUGAAGAAGAUCUGUGACUCCAAGCAAAUAAAGAAAUGGUGGAAUAAAGCUAAGUUAUGAAAUCCUCAAACACGAGACAGUCAAGCCUCCCGUCACAGACGCUCCGGCAGCUGGAGGAACUGCAGGCUGGCAUCAGGGUCUUUUCCAAUGAGUUGGCUCUUCGUGUCAAGUGGCCAAAGGAUUGGAGCUUCAGCUUCAACAUCAGUCCUUCCAAUGAAUAUUCAGGGUUGAUUUCCUUCAAGAUGGACUGGUUUGAUCUUGCUGUCCAAGACAAUGGAUCCGUCAUCCCCAAACCAAAACUCACAGUACUGUGGUGAUCCUUCACAGCCAUGCACAGAGUUGCAAAAACUUCCAGUCACUCCAUGUACAUAUUCCAGCUGAUGGACACAGCUUUGAUGAAACAGCCAGGUUUUGUUGUUUCAGUUCUUAUACUGUAAACAAGAGCUCUUUUUGAAGCCUGUUUAGUACCACUGCUCUUUGCAUUUUUGUACUUUUCACUGGGGACUUUGCUGUUUACAGUGAUCCCCACGUGUAGAGCUGGGGUGCUGCCUCGUGCUCCUAAGUGCAAGAAGGCAUGGAUGUGCCCUACAGAGAGAAUGGCUAGAUAACAUGCUGGGGUCACAGUGCUGCCAGCCCUGAGAUCAACAUUAUUGGAUCACCAUUAAUAUGAAAGUGUUUUUAAACACACACACACACUGAAAACAAAGCGAUACAUUGAUGGUUUGAUGAAAAUGCCAUGACCAGAGUCUCACAGGACCCUAAUCUGUAUUUCCCCUAAGAGCAAUGGUUCAGUGUUCACCAAAUCGGUUUUCUUGCAACUUUGUGGCACCUGACUCUUGCGAAUAAUGAGAAUCACCUGGAGACACAUACACGCACCCCUCUUGGUCUCAUUUUAUGUUCCCAGUAGCCUGUAAGGGAGGUACCAUUCCACCCACGUGACAGUGGAAGACACUCCAAGAGCAAGAGGCUUAGCAGCUUGCCUGUGGUCACACAAAACUAGAAGUCCAAUGCAGCUCUGGCAGAAUGAAUCGUCCAUGCUCUUUCUAUACAGUUUUGCUGAUUCUAGAAUUUUCUGGUUGAAUUGAAUCAUGUUGAA